UAUGAAAUGAAAUGUAAGGUCGCUCUGGAUAAGAGCGUCUGCUAAAUGACUAAAA
rfam:Salmo salar isolate Sally breed double haploid chromosome ssa03, whole genome shotgun sequence.